UAAAAAAGGUCCGCUACUACAUGCAGUCGAACGAUGAACCGGUUUCGGCCGGGGAUUAGUGGCGAACGGGUGAGUAACACGUGGGCAAUCUGCCCUGCACUCUGGGACAAGCCCUGGAAACGGGGUCUAAUACCGGAUACUGACCGACACGGGCAUCCGUGACGGUCGAAAGCUCCGGCGGUGCAGGAUGAGCCCGCGGCCUAUCAGCUUGUUGGUGAGGUAGUGGCUCACCAAGGCGACGACGGGAAGCCGGCCUGAGAGGGCGACCGGCCACACUGGGACUGAGACACGAUCAAAAUUCAUACGGGAGGCAGCAGUGGGGAAUAUUGCACAAUGGGCGAAAGCCUGAUGCAGCGACGCCGCGUGAGGGAUGACGGCCUUCGGGUUGUAAACCUCUUUCAGCAGGAAAGAAGCGAAAGUGACGGUACCUGCAGAAGAAGCGCCGGCUAACUACGUGCCAGCAGCCGCGGUAAUACGUAGGGCGCAAGCGUUGUCCGGAAUUAUUGGGCGUAAAGAGCUCGUAGGCGGCUUGUCACGUCGGUUGUGAAAGCCCGGGUCUUACCCCCGGGUCUGCAGUCGAUACGGGCAGGCUAGAGUUCGGUAGGGGAGAUCGGAAUUCCUGGUGUAGCGGUG
rnacentral:rRNA from 3 species